AUUGAACGCUGGCGGCAGGCCUAACACAUGCAAGUCGAGCGCGCGGCGGACGGGUGAGUAAUGUAUGGGGACUGCCCGAUAGAGGGGGAUAACUACUGGAAACGGUAGCUAAUACAGCAUACUAUCGGAUAACCCAUAUGGGAGUAGCUAGUAGGUUAGGUAAUGGCUCACCUAGGCGACGAUCCCUAGCUGUUCUGAGAGGAUGAUCAGCAACCCUGGUACGGAGACCCGGCCCAGACUCCUACGGCGGCAGCAGUGGGGAAGAUUGCACAAUGGGCGCAAGCUUGAUGCAGCCAUGCCGCGUGGAUGAAGAAGGCCCUAGGGUUGUAAAGUACUUUCAGUCGGGAGGCGUUACCGACAGAAGAAGCACCGGCUAACUCCGUGCCAGCAGCCGCGGUAAUAC
rnacentral:rRNA from 1 species